rnacentral:lncRNA from 1 species
CCUAGAACAUAUAUUUUAACAUUUUGAAAAAGGACAAAUGCAAUUUUAGGAGUAUGUGUGGGAUCCGCCUGCAGUGGAAACACUGCUACUGGUAAUUAUAGGCUGCAUGUUAUCGCAAAGAAUUUAAAAAUGUGCAACAAGCAGUGACACGAUGAAUAAGGGCUUGCAUACACACGAACAAAAACAGAACCGACUCAUAUGGCUGGUAAGAAGUAAUUAUUUUAAACACAUCAAGCAACACCCAGGUUAUUUUAGUGCCAAUAAGCUGGUUGGAUUGGUAAAACAGCAUUCUAUAUGAUUGCAACCACCCUGUUCUUGCUUACACGAAACACAAAACGUGAAAACGCAGCAGUGAGAGGAAGCUGUCUCAACUUGAAUUGGUCGUGAUAUCUUCUCUCCUGAAGACGUGAUUCAACUGAGCUCGUGAGGCACACGUGUGACGACUUCAAAAUGAGCUGUGAACCCGCAGACGAGGAGGUAUGCAAAAACCUUGGUGAUGCUAUUGAUUACAUCCUCGAAGUGUUUGAGGAAUAUGAAGAGGAUGGAAAAAUCUCCAAGGAAGAUUUUGAAACCCUAUUGAAGGAAGAAUUUCCAGACAGCGAAUGCAAGAAAAAGAUUGAUGAAACUGGCCUGGAAACCAUAUUGUCGAAGAUCGACAAAAAAGAUGAUGGUGUGAACCUCAAGGAGUAUAGCAGGUUGAUUAAAUUCAUGAUCACCGGCCAGUUGUGCAGAAAGAAAGGAGGGGACAAGGAGAAGGGCAAUCGGAGACGCAGACGCAGAGGCAAAGGCAAGGGAAAGGGCAAAUGCCAAAAAGAGGAAGAUGAGUGACAGGAACAGCUCUAAUCUGAAUCUGCUCGAUCUUUCACAGGAACAAUGUUUUUGUUCCAUCUACUUUUGUGAGUUGUCCAUAAAAGCAUUAUAAAAUAAAACCUUUGAACAUGAUUUGAUGUGGAAUUCU